rnacentral:rRNA from 1 species
CCUACGGGAGGCAGCAGUAGGGAAUAUUGCACAAUGGGGGAAACCCUGAAGCAGCGACGCCGCGUGGAGGAUGAAGGUUUUCGGAUUGUAAACUCCUUUUGUUAGAGAAGAUAAUGACGGUAUCUAACGAAUAAGCACCGGCUAACUCCGUGCCAGCAGCCGCGGUAAUACGGAGGGUGCAAGCGUUACUCGGAGUCACUGGGCGUAAAGGGCGCGUAGGCGGGAUAGCAAGUCAGAUGUGAAAUCCUAUGGCUUAACCAUAGAACUGCAUUUGAAACUGUUAUUCUAGAGUAUGGGAGAGGUAGGUGGAAUUCUUGGUGUAGCGGUGAAAUCCGUAGAGAUCAAGAGGAAUACUCAUUGCGAAGGCGACCUGCUAGAACAUAACUGACGCUGAUGCGCGAAAGCGUGGGGAGCAAACAGGAUUAGAUACCCGUGUAGUC